GAUGAAGAACGCAGCGAAAUGCGAUAAGUAGUGUGAAUUGCAGAAUUCAGUGAAUCAUCGAAUCUUUGAACGCACAUUGCGCCCCUUGGUAUUCCAUGGGGCAUGCCUGUUCGAGCGUCAUCUACACCCUCAAGCUCUGCUUGGUGUUGGGCGUCUGUCCCGCCCCCGCGCGUGGACUCGCCCCAAAUCCAUUGGCAGCGUUCCUUGCCCCCUCUCGCGCAGCACAUUGCGCUUCUCGAGGGCGGCUCCGGGACGCGAUCCAGCAAGAUGACCACCGUAUUUGACCUCGGAUCAGGUAGGGAUACCCGCUGAACUUAAGCAUAUCAAUAAGCGGAGGA
rnacentral:misc_RNA from 1 species